rnacentral:rRNA from 1 species
AACGAACGCUGGCGGCAUGCCUAACACAUGCAAGUCGAACGAGACCUUCGGGUCUAGUGGCGCACGGGUGCGUAACGCGUGGGAACCUGCCCUUAGGUUCGGAAUAACUCCCCGAAAUGGGUGCUAAUACCGGAUAAUUUCUUCGGACCAAAGAUUUAUCGCCUUUGGAUGGGCCCGCGUUGGAUUAGCUUGUUGGUAGGGUAAAAGCCUACCAAGGCGACGAUCCAUAGCUGGUCUGAGAGGAUGAUCAGCCACACUGGGACUGAGACACGGCCCAGACUCCUACGGGAGGCAGCAGUGGGGAAUAUUGGACAAUGGGCGAAAGCAUGAUCCAGCAAUGCCGCGUGAGUGAUGAAGGCCUUAGGGUUGUAAAGCUCUUUUACCCGGGAUGAUAAUGACAGUACCGGGAGAAUAAGCGCCGGCUAACUCCGUG